ensembl:lncRNA
AUUGGAUAACAAUGGGAUAAUGCCAUAGAGGUUCAAUUACUGUCUAUGACUCUUCAAAAAUCAAAGAGAAAAUCUAUUGUUUACACUUCAGCCUAGAAAAAUGAAAGAGUAGGCAAUGAGUUUAUGCUAUUCUUAUAAACCACUAUAUGGAAUAUUCUGUGUUCUUUUUUAAUGAAAUUGUGGAUUCUACAUCAAUUCAACUGGGAUCAACACCUAAACAAAUAACUUCAAUAUUUUUGCUACUACAGAACAGCAUGCCUGGUGCUGCUACUUCCAGGAUCCAUCCAGCACAACGUCAGGAUACGUUCAGCACAAAGCUAUCACAUGGAACAAACACCAUCAACCACAUAUUCAGAAAACAAGGAAUAAACAAGCAGGACUUGACAAUCAAAAAGAAUUUGCUGUGCAAUUAUGAGUUUCAGUGUAGAGUAUAUAAAUAUAUAAAACAGCAUAACACCUGAUUUCUCAAAUUUGUCUAAACAGUAGCUUAGCAAUAAAGAAAAUGAAAACUACAUUAUAGCUUGAAUAUUUACAAAAAACAAAUGAAGUAGUGUACAUAUGAUUUAAAUUAUUGUAUUUCUGUCCUAGGAAUAAAGUAGGACCACCUACUAAAGUAGCCUAACUCAUACUGUUUCGACACUCCUAUUUCACUUGGCAGCAGGAAACAAAGUCUUUAAAAAAUUUUAUUUGCAAUCCUUCACCAUCCAUCUGCCAACCAGACCUACCUGAAAACCAGCAAAGAAACAACUGCAUGUGGUGGUGAGAAAGGACCAUAAGUCUCUCCUUUCCUACGAUUCCUUUGAAACUCUAUUUUAUGCCAUGUAAGUUUAAAAGGGAGUAAGGAAUCGGAAAACAAAGUUUGUGGUGAUUCUUAAUACAAAUCAUUUCCAGUUUGCUUAGAGGCAGAGAUAUUAUGCAAUCUAUAUAUAGAUCCUUGUGCACUCUUUCCUCUUAAUUCUUCACUGAGGUUAAGAAAUACAGAAAGCAUUAGUUUUAAUCAGUGGUUGUAAAACAACAAACAUCAGAUUCAGCAGGGUGUUCAGGAACACUGUCUGGUGUGGCAACAUUGUCAAAUAUAAUCUGCAUACCAUUCAGAUUUUCAUUGUUUUAACUAUUAUUUUGCUAUUCCAAUUUUUUUUAAAGAAGUGCAUAAUUAUUAUUUUACUAAUUCAAAGCAGUAAAAAUACUCUGAAUGUUUGAAAAGAUUUAUCAGCUAGGCAUAAAAGUUUCCUAGAUAUAUUAUAAAUACCACUUCAAUUUGUAUACCCAGAUGCUGACACACCUCCACUCACUUGCUACAUCUAUUCGUAAUAAAGAUGGAAUAUCAUCAGCUCUUCAUAUUCCAUACAUAUGUCAGAGAACAGUUAAUACAGAUACAUCUAGAUAUGAUAAAUGAAUUAAGUUAUACUUUUUAUUGCAAAUCCCCUGAAUAAGAAUCACUCCUCU